GCUGUGAUCAAAAACCUUCACUCACAUUGUCGUCCUUCGGGGCACUGAACUCCUCAGUCGAAGUAAUAUUUAUAUUUUUGAAAACAUUGAUUCAAUAAUCAGUCCGCUCUUUGCUGUUCCAGGACGGAGAUGCUGUCAUGUGCCAGGGAGGUCAAUCGCUUCAGCAGCUGAUUUUCAACUUGUACACGUACCUACACAUGGUUCAGUUGAAAGGAUAUGUCAUGCUCCAAUUUUCAUGGAUGUUGCUGCGGCUUUAUGGCAAAGGAAAUUUCGUUACGGAGUCCAUGAAUGAAAAAAACAAAUUCUACAAGCGUUUUGACAAGCAGAUGGAAAUGGCUCGUCAAGUAUUAGAGACAACAAGCAAUGAAAAGAGAAGAUGUGAUCCGCCCAAAAAAAUCGAGGGAGAAACCUAUGCUCAAAUUACAAGACUUCUGCAGGGAUACAUUCAAAAUGAAGUCGACAUGAAACGGAGACGAGUCUUGCUCUGAAAAUUGCGCCUAUUAUUCGUAUGCCAAACAGCAUGGUUGCUUCAAGAACGGAUUCUGUGCUAGACAACCCUCUUGCACAGGUCGAAUUCUAAAUUGUCAGUUCGUUGAUGCUGACAUGGGUGUAUGCUUAUCAGACAUUGGAAGCACAAGACGGUACAAUUGGAUUCAGUACGAAAAUGGUCGAACUUGGGCAAGCGUGGUACUUGCAGCAAGUACAAUGUUGUGGAUAGUUGGUGGAGAUGCUUGUUCUCCAUUGCUCCUACUGCUUUUGUCUCUGUGAUGAGCCAGGCCGCCACUCUGAUCGCUACUUCAGUCUUCGGCCCUCUUCCUCAAAACACCACAUUUAAUAAAGUCGUUACCGGUGUGCGUUUUGCAAAGCGGAAUCGCAUGAUCCAUCUCCAGAUCCAAGAAGGAGAGCUUCUUCUCAUGGUGGCAUCAAUCAAAACUCCGUCUCAUGGCGACCAGUCCCUGAUUUCAGAAUCGAUGACCCUGAUGUCAAAGAGGGAGUCGAUUACCACACACUAUCCUGGGAGUCACGAGUCUUGAUCUAGACGAUGUGAAAUUACCUCCUAAAUGCCUUCUGACAGGUAUAAACUUUGUAUGCAAGCUUACCAGUUUAUGGAAUAAAUGUGGAUAUUUUAAAUGGGAAAAGUGCUGAUUUUUCAGGACGAUGUAGCAACAAAGACAAGGUUGCCAGGUUGUGGAAUAUAAAGUGGGUAUCUUACAUGGGUUUAAAUGGAGAGAGGUGCUGAUAUUCAGCAUAAACUGGCAACAAUGCCUUGACAAACACCAAAGUAAAAUUUAAAUAUCAAUACUUAGACGAGUGAAUUACAAAAAUUCCUGCACAAAAAUUAACUGAGAAUGUCAAAUGCAAAUGGAAGUUUGACAACCUGAAGUUAGGAGUUCUAAAGCAAUCCGCAGUUUCAACCUCAAAAUGAUUUCAUUUAAAUGCAUUUUUAUGAUCUUGCAUGAUACCGUCAUGAACUAAACUGCUUGCAACUUGCAGUGGAAAUUGCAUAUUACGAUACCAUCCAUAACGAUAUAUCAGUCAUAAUGACGUGCAAUCUGGUUGGUCCCGUGGCUUAUAUCCCAUUGAUUCAAUGUAUUCAUGCAUCAUUCAUAACAACAAUCGAAAUAACGACAAAAUUAGACCGAUCCCUUGAAGGUUGAUGUCCUUGUCCUAUCCCUACAUUUGGUUAAAUAUUUGAGUGUUCUCUGUCAAAAAUUCAAAUUUAGAUUUUUCGGCUAAACUUGACAAAGUCUCACUCCAGAAUUAUUUAGUUUAGUUUUUCCAACAGUUUCUCUUUUUCUAGGAAAAUUCAUACAUCAUUGACCAAAGAAGCAAUAAACAGAGAAAAGAUAAAAACAGAAAUUAUCAGACAGUUUUUUUUUGACUUGGAAAAAAUAAAAAAGAAGAAAGAUCAUGGAAUAAUUCAUUAGAUUUUCUUUUCUGUCAAGGGAAUAAACAGCAAUGGGAAUAAAAAG
rnacentral:lncRNA from 1 species